AUCUUGGACAAUGGGGGAAACCCUGAUCCAGCCAUGCCGCGUGAGUGAUGAAGGUCUUAGGAUUGUAAAAUCCUUUCAGCGGGGACGAUAAUGACGGUACCCGCAGAAGAAGCCCCGGCUAACUUCGUGCCAGCAGCCGCGGUAAUACGAAGGGGGCUAGCGUUGCUCGGAUUUACUGGGCGUAAAGGGCGCGUAGGCGGACAGUUAAGUUGGGGGUGAAAGCCCGGGGCUCAACCUCGGAAUUGCCUUCAAUACUGGCUGUCUUGAGUGUGAGAGAGGUGUGUGGAACUCCGAGUGUAGAGGUGAAAUUCGUAGAUAUUCGGAAGAACACCAGUGGCGAAGGCGACACACUGGCUCACUACUGACGCUGAGGCGCGAAAGCGUGGGGAGCAAACAGG
rnacentral:rRNA from 1 species